ensembl:lncRNA
GGAGACAGCGCGCUAGCGGAGCUAGUCUUCUAUCUAUAGCUAUGGUCGGCACGCCUGGUGGCAUCUCUGGCUGCUGUUGACCUUGUUUUUGGAGUAAAACACGGUGGAAGCUGAAUUAGUGAGGAUGACUCCUGCUCCUGUCAUCUCUAAGCUCCUCACACAUCUUUACCUGCACAUGAGGAAAAUCACUCCUGUAGAAUAUGUUCAGAGGGAGAUGAUGCCACAUCUGGUCCAGCUGAUGGAAGGUCUUGAAGUUCUCUGACUGGCCUCGACUGAAGAUGGUCCUCUCACUGGAUUUAAGAUGCACAAUGAGGGACGUCUGCAACGACUGAGAAAGAGUCUCACCACAUCCUGACAUGAGGAAAAAGACUUUAUUGAAGACUACAAUGAGAAAAACUAUCAGACAGCAGACGGCUGCAUUCAAGGUGAGCUCUGAACAUUUGAUCUGGAACAGGAAUUCAAUAACAGCAGCAUGAGCUUCAUUUCAGUCUGGAGCUGCUGAAUUCAUGGAUGAAUCAUCUGGCACUAGAGAGGAAGACCAUCAAAUAUCCACGUCAGCUGAUGGAGGUCGACGAGUCUCACCGAACAAACAGUGAAGACCUCGAAUCUGAUUGGACAGCCUCCUAUUCAGCCACUUUAGGCUGUUAGAUUGUUCCAGAUAAGACAAGUACAACAUUCUUCAGAGCUGUUCUACCACGAGCCUGACAGGAAGAACUCCA